rnacentral:rRNA from 1 species
UGGGGAAUAUUGCGCAAUGGGGGGAACCCUGACGCAGCCAUGCCGCGUGAAUGAAGAAGGCCUUAGGGUUGUAAAGUUCUUUCGGUAUUGAGGAAGGUUGAUGUGUUAAUAGCACAUCAAAUUGACGUUAAAUACAGAAGAAGCACCGGCUAACUCCGUGCCAGCAGCCGCGGUAAUACGGAGGGUGCGAGCGUUAAUCGGAAUAACUGGGCGUAAAGGGCACGCAGGCGGUUAUUUAAGUGAGGUGUGAAAGCCCCGGGCUUAACCUGGGAAUUGCAUUUCAGACUGGGUAACUAGAGUACUUUAGGGAGGGGUAGAAUUCCACGUGUAGCGGUGAAAUGCGUAGAGAUGUGGAGGAAUACCGAAGGCGAAGGCAGCCCCUUGGGAAUGUACUGACGCUCAUGUGCGAAAGCGUGGGGAGCAAACAGGAUUAGAUACCCUGGUAGUCCACGCUGUAAACGCUGUCGAUUUGGGGGUUGGGGUUUAACUCUGGCGCCCGUAGCUNACGUGAUAAAUCGACCGCCUGGGGAGUACGGCCGCAAGGNUA